AUAUUGCUUCUGGCCUAAAACAAAUUUUACGGCCAAAGCAAAAAGGCGAGCCACGCCAGAUACAGCGCUUUGGGCGAAACAUGUUGCGGUGGUUUUGGUGUAUACAGAUAGUUACGAGGAAGCCAGAGUAAAGGCUAAUCGAGCCACCGUGACAUCCAACCUGGAGAGUGACAAAGAAACCCCACUGAGACCAGUACGGCCUCCAGCUCGAUACUUAAGACAGCUGGAUAGCGGUGUUUUACAUGUUCGAGAACCAGAAACUGUGUCUGACAGGGAGAACCAAUAUGAAGCUGGUGUGCCUGAAGAAGAUGCUCUUGCAUCAGCCAGUGAAACCAGUUUGUGUCCAUUACUUGAGCAUUCUCGGAGGCACUACCCCUGGGGAGGCCAUCAGAAGGGCACUGCGUGCCAUCGGAGACAACAAAAUUUGGGCUCAAUACAGCUUUAAAGGCAGAAAGGGGAAAAAGACUUUUCAAGACCUGGAGAUUUGCAGUGUCAUAAUUCAAGCUUGUCAAAAGAUGCACACAAAAACUUCAACGAAGGUCCUGGAAGAGUGCAUUGCAGACACGUUAAAAUACGCACCCCAUCGAGAUGCAAAAAUGGCCAUGGCAACACCGGAUGGACAGAGCACAGCCUGAUGUUUCAAAGCUCCAAGGGCAUAGAUUUAGUUUGAAUCGUUCUUAUAAUUGUUAGAAUUCAAGUAAUUGUGUUUUGUUACCUGUUAUAAUUCAAGUAAUUGUGUUUUGUUACCUGUUAUAAUUCAAGUAAUUGUUGUUUUGUUACCUAUUACAAAUAUUGAUAUUUUAAUUGUAUUUUAAAUAAACAGAAGCAUAUGCAUCUUAAUAAAGCAAAUUUGUUCAUUUAUUAAUUUUCCUUCAGCUUAGUCC
rnacentral:lncRNA from 1 species